GAUGAACGCUGGCGGCGUGCCUAAUACAUGCAAGUCGAGCGAACAGAUGAGGAGCUUGCUCCUCUGACGUUAGCGGCGGACGGGUGAGUAACACGUGGAUAACCUACCUAUAAGACUGGGAUAACUUCGGGAAACCGGAGCUAAUACCGGAUAAUAUAUUGAACCGCAUGGUUCAAUAGUGAAAGACGGUUUUGCUGUCACUUAUAGAUGGAUCCGCGCCGCAUUAGCUAGUUGGUAAGGUAACGGCUUACCAAGGCAACGAUGCGUAGCCGACCUGAGAGGGGAUUCGGCCAAACUGGACCGGGGAAACGGCCCGGAUCCCAAGGGGAGGCAGCGGAGGGAAACCUUCGGCAUUGGGCGAAAGCCUAAGGGGGCAACGCGGGGGGGGGGAGAAAGUUUUUGGAUUCGUAAAACCCGGUAAUUGGGAAAAAACAAAGGUGUAAGUAACUAUGCACGCCUUAACGUAACCAAAUCGGAAGGCCAGGGUAACCUACGU
rnacentral:rRNA from 1 species